CCUACGGGAGGCAGCAGUGAGGAAUAUUGGUCAAUGGGCUUACGCCUGAACCAGCCAAGUCGCGUGAGGGAAGACUGCCCUAUGGGUUGUAAACCUCUUUUGUCAGGGAGCAACGCCGGCUACGUGUAGCCGGACUGAGAGUACCUGAAGAAAAAGCAUCGGCUAACUCCGUGCAAGCAGCCGCGGUAAUACGGAGGAUGCGAGCGUUAUCCGGAUUUAUUGGGUUUAAAGGGUGCGUAGGCGGAAUGCCAAGUCAGCGGUAAAAUCGCGGGGCUCAACCUCGCUCCGCCGUUGAAACUGGCGUUCUUGAGUGGGCGAGAAGUAUGCGGAAUGCGUGGUGAAGCGGUGAAAUGCAUAGAUAUAACGCAGAACACCGAUGGCGAAGGCAGCAUACCGGCGCCCAACUGACGCUGAAGCACGAAAGCGUGGGUAGCGAACAGGAUUAGAUACCCUAGUAGUC
rnacentral:rRNA from 1 species